rnacentral:rRNA from 1 species
UGAGGGAAUAUUUGGGGUCAAUGGGCGAAAGCCUGAACCAGCCAAGUAGCGUGCAGGAUGACGGCCCUACGGGUUGUAAACUGCUUUUAGGCGAGGGUAAAGGAGCGGACGUGUUCCGCUUUUGCAAGUACCGCCAGAAAAAGGACCGGCUAAUUCCGUGCCAGCAGCCGCGGUAAUACGGAAGGUUCAGGCGUUAUCCGGAUUUAUUGGGUUUAAAGGGUGCGCAGGCGGCGCGCCAAGUCAGCGGUCAAAGUUCCGGGCUCAACCCGGUGUCGCCGUUGAAACUGGCGUGCUCGAGUGCGUGCGAGGAAGGCGGAAUGCGUUGUGUAGCGGUGAAAUGCAUAGAUAUGACGCAGAACUCCGAUUGCGAAGGCAGCUUUCCAGCGCGCUACUGACGCUGAGGCACGAAAGCGUGGGGGAUCGAACAGGGAUUAGAUACCCUGGGUAGU